AUUGAACGCUGGCGGAAUGCUUUACACAUGCAAGUCGAACGGCAGCACGGACUUCGGUCUGGUGGCGAGUGGCGAACGGGUGAGUAAUACAUCGGAACGUGCCCAGUCGUGGGGGAUAACGUAGCGAAAGCUACGCUAAUACCGCAUACGAUCUAAGGAUGAAAGCGGGGGAUCGCAAGACCUCGCGCGAUUGGAGCGGCCGAUGGCAGAUUAGGGAGUUGGUGGGGUAAAGGCUCACCAAGCCGACGAUCUGUAGCUGGUCUGAGAGGACGACCAGCCACACUGGGCCUGAGACACGGCCCAGACUCCUACGGGAGGCAGCAGUGGGGAAUUUUGGACAAUGGGCGCAAGCCUGAUCCAGCCAUUCCGCGUGCAGGAUGAAGGCCCUCGGGUUGUAAACUGCUUUUGUACGGAACGAAAAGGCUCUGGUUAAUACCUGGGGCUCAUGACGGUACCGUAAGAAUAAGCACCGGCUAACUACGUGCCAGCCGCCGCCGUAA
rnacentral:rRNA from 1 species